rnacentral:rRNA from 1 species
CUAAUACAUGCAAGUCGAGCGCGGGAAGCAGACUGAAGCCUUCGGGCGGACGUCUGUGGAACGAGCGGCGGAUGGGUGAGUAACACGUGGGCAACCUGCCUGUAAGCUCGGGAUAACUAGCGGAAACGCUAGCUAAUACCGAAUAACGCUGCGCACCGCAUGGCGCGCAGAUGAAAGGCGGCGCAAGCUGCCACUUACAGAUGGGCCCGCGGCGCAUUAGCUAGUUGGUGGGGUAACGGCCUACCAAGGCGACGAUGCGUAGCCGACCUGAGAGGGUGAUCGGCCACACUGGGACUGAGACACGGCCCAGACUCCUACGGGAGGCAGCAGUAGGGAAUCUUCCGCAAUGGACGCAAGUCUGACGGAGCAACGCCGCGUGAGUGAUGAAUGUCUUCGGAUUGUAAAACUCUGUUGUUAGGGAAGAACAGGUACCGUUCGAAUAGGUCGGUACCUUGACGGUACCUAACCAGAAAGCCCCGGCUAACUACGUGCCAGCAGCCGCGGUAAUACGUAGGGGGCAAGCGUUGUCCGGAAUUAUUGGGCGUAAAGGGCGCGCAGGCGGUCUUCUAAGUCUGAUGUGAAAGCCCACGGCUUAACCGUGGAAGGUCAUUGGAAACUGGGGGACUUGAGUGCAGAAGAGGAGAGUGGAAUUCCAUGUGUAGCGGUGAAAUGCGUAGAGAUAUGGAGGAACACCAGUGGCGAAGGCGA